UGGGGAAUUUUGGACAAUGGGCGCAAGCCUGAUCCAGCCAUGCCGCGUGCAGGAUGAAGGCCCUCGGGUUGUAAACUGCUUUUGUACGGAACGAAAAGCCUCUUUCUAAUAAAGAGGGGUGAUGACGGUACCGUAAGAAUAAGCACCGGCUAACUACGUGCCAGCAGCCGCGGUAAUACGUAGGGUGCGAGCGUUAAUCGGAAUUACUGGGCGUAAAGCGUGCGCAGGCGGUCUUGCAAGACAGUGGUGAAAUCCCCGGGCUCAACCGGGGAACUGCCAUUGUGACUGCAAGACUGGAGUACGGCAGAGGGGGAUGGAAUUCCGCGUGUAGCAGUGAAAUGCGUAGAUAUGCGGAGGAACACCGAUGGCGAAGGCAGUCCCCUGGGCCUGUACUGACGCUCAUGCACGAAAGCGUGGGGAGCAAACA
rnacentral:rRNA from 1 species